rnacentral:snRNA from 1 species
AAUGGAUUAACGAGAUUCC